rnacentral:rRNA from 1 species
UACGAAGGGGGCUAGCGUUGUUCGGAAUUACUGGGCGUAAAGCGCACGUAGGCGGUUAUUUAAGUCAGGGGUGAAAUCCCGGAGCUCAACUCCGGAACUGCCUUUGAUACUGGAAGUCUUGAGUCCGGGAGAGGUGAGUGGAACUCCGAGUGUAGAGGUGAAAUUCGUAGAUAUUCGGAAGAACACCAGUGGCGAAGGCGGCUCACUGGCCCGGUACUGACGCUGAGAUACGAAAGCGUGGGGAGCAAACAGG